rnacentral:misc_RNA from 1 species
GAAAUGCGAUAAGUAAUGUGAAUUGCAGAAUUCAGUGAAUCAUCGAAUCUUUGAACGCACAUUGCGCCCGGCAGUAUUCUGGCGGGCAUGCCUGUUCGAGCGUCAUUUCAACCAUCAAGCCCCCGGCUUGUGUUGGGGACCUGCGGCUGCCCGCAGGCCCUGAAAAACAGUGGCGGGCUCGCUGUCACACCGAGCGUAGUAGCAUACAUUCUCGCUCAGGGCGUGCUGCGGGUUCCGGCCGUUAAACGACCUUCAUAACCCAAGGUUGACCUCGGAUCAGGUAGGAAGACCCGCUGAACUUAAGC